rnacentral:rRNA from 1 species
UACGAAGGGGGCUAGCGUUGCUCGGAAUCACUGGGCGUAAAGCGCACGUAGGCGGAUCUUUAAGUCAGGGGUGAAAUCCUGGAGCUCAACUCCAGAACUGCCUUUGAUACUGGGGAUCUCGAGUCCGGAAGAGGUGAGUGGAACUCCGAGUGUAGAGGUGAAAUUCGUAGAUAUUCGGACGAACACCAGUGGCGAAGGCGGCUCACUGGUCCGGUACUGACGCUGAGGUGCGAAAGCGUGGGGAGCAAACAGG